rnacentral:rRNA from 2 species
GAGCAUGUGUUUUAAUUCGAAGCAACGCGAAGGAACCUUUACAGGUCUUGACAUCCUCCUGACAACCCUAGAGAUAGGGGCGUUCCCCUUCCGGGGGACAGAGUGACAGGUGGUGCAUGGUUGUCGUCAGCUCGUGUCGUGAGAUGUUGGGUUAAGUCCCGCAACGAGCGCAACCCUUGAUCUUAGUUGCCAGCAUUCAGUUGGGCACUCUAAGGUGACUGCCGGUGACAAACCGGAGGAAGGUGGGGAUGACGUCAAAUCAUCAUGCCCCUUAUGACCUGGGCUACACACGUGCUACAAUGGAUGGAACAAAGGGCUGCAAAACCGCGAGGUCGAGCCAAUCCCAUAAAUCCAUUCUCAGUUCGGAUGCAGGCUGCAACUCGCCUGCAUGAAGCCGGAAUCGCUAGUAAUCGCGGAUCAGCAUGCCGCGGUGAAUACGUUCCCGGGCCUUGUACACACCGCCCGUCACACCACGAGAGUUUGUAACACCCGAAGUCGGUGA